UCCACCUGCUCCCAGCGCACACAGGCGGUACCCCUGCUGCCCUCCUGUAGCAGUGACAGGACCAGGUAUUUUCUGCAGCCUGAACCGCGACAUGGACAUGCGUGCUUUAGCAGCUGCUCGUGGCCCUGUGGAGACCGUGGUCGUACCCGGGUGUGUCUGGAGAGCAACGUCCUGUUAAGUGACCCGUUAAGGGCUAAGCCUCCUCGCACACAGCAAGGCGCCGUAACCUGAGCUCCCUGCUCCCCCCACCAACUGCCGCGCCGCGCCGCCCGUCCCCUUCACCGCGCCCUCUGGGCUCUGCCGUUAAUCGCACGGAGAGGGGGUGCCGCCGACACUCUUCGCUCCACCCACACGCGUGAGAGCGGCCGGGCUGGAGGGGGUUGCCUCGCUUUCCUUCAGCUUCUUAGAACUUUCUAGGCGCGAUUGUGGCCACAACUUGGACCUUCUAAGAACAGUGCUGCGUCGUGACGCUCUGCUACCAGGCUGAUCCGCUCGGGGUUUGUCCGGAAAUGGCGGACGCAGGAAUGUUCCAAAAUGAUCUUAAUUUCUACAGAGAGGAAAAGAUAAUGUGCCACUGGACAAGCAUCAGCUAAGGAGAAAUGAGGGUCCAACGAUGAAGGAUUUCUAUGACUUCUUGGAACAAACAGCUAAAGUUUCUCCAUAUCUGUCAACAAUUUAGUCGUUGAUAAUGGACUCGUUUCAUUGCACAGUGAAAAGCAAGCCCUGUAAACUGUUCCAAAACUGAAUCUCAGUCUGUGGUAUAUACAUUUACAUGGGCCUUGGUUUUGUAAUGUUCUUCAGUUAUACAAUGAGCACUGACUGAUAUAAGAAUUGCUUCAAAACAACGUUUUCCUUGUGCAAGCGGCAACUCCUCUGGCUAUAAAUAAACACUCAAACAAGGCAGCUUUAAAUAGCUUAAAAAUAACACUCUUCCAUUUCUUCCAAGCAGUAAAGUUAUGUAAAAGCAUUGCAACUGAAGAAAGGUAGGAGCCUGUAAUAGGAGCCUGAAGGGUAGGCAGAUGCUAUGGUGAUGUAAGGGCUGUGUAAGACUAUAAAUCAAACUUUAUACAGACUGUUUUAAAGCUGGGGGAGACACGUUCCCUAACCUUGGGGGAUUUGAAUCCUAUUGAAAAUGACAAGAUGCU
rnacentral:lncRNA from 1 species